UGCUUGCUGCCAGAAUGAAAUGGUGGACUAGUUUCCUGGCUGCAUAUUUCUCCUGGAGUGGUCAACAGCGACGCUCAGAGAUGUGGCCCCAUAGACUGAACCAGGGACCUCAGUCAUGCCCGACACUGCGUUCUACCUCUGGGAUAGCUUCCUGUCCUUGAACAUUUUUAACAGCUAUUAGAGAAAGAAUUGUUGACCUAGGAAGAUAGAUGAGAAGAUUUUUCCAGAUAUGAAAAUAACACUUGAGAAGUAAGAUACUCCAGUUUCUGGUACAGUGCUCUUUUUGUCACAUAAACAAAUCUUAAACAAUCUAAUUACUGAUGUUGUUCAUUACAGUGGUUUAUACCCUCCAACCAUAGCUGAACAUAUUUAUUGAUAUUACAGUAUAAAGAAAUGUAUCACCAGAAAACAUUUUUAAAUGCUGAAUACAUUCCCACAAGUAAAAAUGGGAAAAUGUAAAAAGCAUAUACAAUUAAUAGGUAAUUUUAUUUCGUUUAGAAAUUAUCUCAUAAGUAUAUUGUGAUGAGAAUUUACCUGAGAAAAUGGU